rnacentral:misc_RNA from 1 species
GUUCUUGGCAAAGGUCUCGGGGUCUGCUGAAAGCCCAGCAGUGUCCCAACCAUAAUCACCAGGGAAUUCUCCAGUGAGGUAAGAUGGGGGAUCACCAGACAAUGGACCCAAAUACAAAACUCGGUCUGGACCGUACCACGGGCUUCCAGAUGGAACUUGCUUGCCGGUCUUCCUCAUACUGAUCCUUCCACCACCAAGAACCUCCGGGGCAAGUUUCACCGCCUUUCCGGCGAAAGAUGGGGAAGAGAGAGCCAUGGUAGAAGCAGCCAUGGUGGAAGAAAGAAGCCUUUGGAGAAGUAAGUUGACAGGAGGUGGUAGUGUUAGG